UACGGGGGGGGCAAGCGUUGUUCGGAAUUACUGGGCGUAAAGGGCGCGUAGGCGGCCUGCUAAGUCGGACGUGAAAUCCCUCGGCUCAACCGAGGAACUGCGUCCGAUACUGGUGGGCUUGAAUCCGGGAGAGGGAUGUGGAAUUCCAGGUGUAGCGGUGAAAUGCGUAGAUAUCUGGAGGAACACCGGUGGCGAAGGCGGCAUCCUGGACCGGUAUUGACGCUGAGGCGCGAAGGCUAGGGGAGCAAACGGG
rnacentral:rRNA from 1 species